AUACGUAGGGUGCAAGCGUUAAUCGGAAUUACUGGGCGUAAAGCGUGCGCAGGCGGUUUUGUAAGACAGAGGUGAAAUCCCCGGGCUCAACCUGGGAAAUGCCUUUGUGACUGCAAGGCUAGAGUACGGCAGAGGGGGAUGGAAUUUCGCGUGUAGCAGUGAAAAGCGUAGAUAUGCGGAGGAACACCGAUGGCUAAGGCAAUCCCCUGGGCCUGUACUGACGCUCAUGCACGAAAGCGUGGGGAGCAAACAGGAUUAGAUACCCUGGUAGUCCACGCCCUAAACGAUGUCAACUGGUUGUUGGGUCUUCAUUGACUCAGUAACGAAGCUAACGCGUGAAGUGGACCGCCUGGGGAGUACGGUCGCAAGGUUGAAACUCAAAGGAAUUGACGGGG
rnacentral:rRNA from 1 species